UUUUAACUUGGGAAGAUUUUGAACUAGUAAAUCCACACAGAGCCAGAUUUUUAAAAGAAAUUAAAGACCUUGCUAUUAAGAGGCGCCAGAUUUUAGGCAAUAAAAGCCUUUCCGAAGAUGAGAAGAACACAAAGUUACAGGAACUAGUACUCAAGAACCCAUCAGGUUCUGGACCUCCACUUAGCAUAGAGGACUUAGGGUAAGAUUUUUGUAUGCAUUCUUCAACCUAACAAAUGAGGAAGGUUACAGGUUUCUGUUUCUCUGUCCCUGUGGAUCUGUAGUCUGUCAGCAAAGUCUAUAGUCUAUAGAAAAUGAUGCUUUUCUGUUUGAACCAUUGGUUUAUUGUUAUUAUAAAAGAUAGCGUUAUGUCAGGUGUAUGCAUGGCUUAGUUGGUAUUGAGCUUUCCUAGGUCCAUAAA
rnacentral:lncRNA from 1 species